CGUUCAACUGCCUGCUCGCCUUUCUCUGCCUUCUCGACAACCUCUUUAUCUUCUUGGUUAUACUGGACUACAGUCUUGCCAGAGCUCUGAAAUGGCCGUUUGAUAUGGAAAGUGAGGUUUACAGUAUUCUAGUUCCUAGACUGGUCUAUCCUCUGAACAACAUUAUAUUUGCAGCAUCCGUUUACACAACAAUAACCAUUUCAUAUGAAAGAUAUCAAGCUGUUUGCACCCCAUACGAGUACAGAGAAGUUUGCACCAACAAAACACUCAAG